rnacentral:RNase_P_RNA from 2 species
GGCAUGCGUCGGGUAGUCGCUCCGUGGGAUAUCUCACGGGGAGGAAAGUCCGAACUCGGGCCUAUGAGAUGGCCGCAAGGCCUAUCUCAUGGGCAGCAGGGUAGUGGGUAAUACCCAUCCGGAGCAAUCCGCGAGGUGCGAACAGUGACGCUUUUGUUGCGAAAGCAACGAAGCUCCUUUUAAAGGCAACUUUCAAAAGGAUGAAUCUUCAUGGCAACAUGGAGGGUGAAACGGCUAAAUCCUUACUUCCGUGCAAGGCCGUAUCGGCGCGAAGCGCCGGAUGUUUAAAUAUUUAAACGUUUAAAUGUCCGACGCUUUGCGUCGGGGUGCCGCUUGACCCCGAGAGUAAUCGAGGGGCUAGAUAAAUGGCUAUCGCCCAUUUUGUCCGUAGCGGACAAAAUGGGUACAGAAUUCGGCUUAUAGGCGCAUGCAAACA